GGCAGCAGUGAGGAAUAUUGGACAAUGGACGAAAGUCUGAUCCAGCUAUGCCGCGUGCAGGAUGACGGCCCUAUGGGUUGUAAACUGCUUUUAUACAGGAAGAAAAACUCCGACGUGUCGGAACUUGACGGUACUGUAAGAAUAAGGAUCGGCUAACUCCGUGCCAGCAGCCGCGGUAAUACGGAGGAUCCAAGCGUUAUCCGGAAUCAUUGGGUUUAAAGGGUCCGUAGGCGGUUUUUUAAGUCAGAGGUGAAAUCCUGCAGCUCAACUGUAGAAUUGCCUUUGAUACUGAAAGACUUGAGUUAUUGUGAAGUGGUUAGAAUGUGUGGUGUAGCGGUGAAAUGCAUAGAUAUCACACAGAAUACCAAUUGCGAAGGCAGAUCACUAACAAUAUACUGACGCUCAGGGACGAAAGCGUGGGUAGCGAACAGGAUUAGAUACCCUGGUAGUCCACGCCGUAAACGAUGGAUACUAGCUGUA
rnacentral:rRNA from 1 species